UGUAGUAUCCAGCGUGUAGAGCAGUUGACUUUUAAUCAAUUGGUCGCAGGUUCGAAUCCUGCACGA
rnacentral:tRNA from 1 species